GACGAACGCUGGCGGCGUGCUUAACACAUGCAAGUCGAACGGAAAGGCCCUGCUUUUGUGGGGUGCUCGAGUGGCGAACGGGUGAGUAACACGUGAGUAACCUGCCCUUGACUUUGGGAUAACUUCAGGAAACUGGGGCUAAUACCGGAUAGGAGCUCCUGCUGCAUGGUGGGGGUUGGAAAGUUUCGGCGGAUGGGGAUGGACUCGCGGCUUAUCAGCUUGUUGGUGGGGUAGUGGCUUACCAAGGCUUUGACGGGUAGCCGGCCUGGGAGGGUGACAGGCCACAUUGGGACUGAGAUACGGCCCAGACUCCUACGGGAGGCAGCAGUGGGGAAUAUUGCACAAUGGGCGGAAGCCUGAUGCAGCAACGCCGCGUGCGGGAUGACGGCCUUCGGGUUGUAAACCGCUUUCGCCUGUGACGAAGCGUGAGUGACGGUAAUGGGUAAAGAAGCACCGGCUAACUACGUG
rnacentral:rRNA from 1 species